AAUACCCAUAGGUAGUUUAUCCCCAACAAUUCCAUCGAACUUUGUGAUCACAACCUAAAAAUCUACUGCUUUGUUUUUUGGACAGGAUGAACAAGGAGAACAGGUACUCUGAUGAGCAAAGCUUCAUAAUGGAGCUCACCUUCCAGCAGUCCUAAAUAUGCAGAGUUCCUGGUGAAGGGCCUUGGGUGUUGAUUCCAGGAGGCUAAUAAUGAGGAGUGAGGGAAGGGGGCCAGGGCCACGAGGGUUAUCUCACAGUCCCAGAUGCUGGAUAAGUUGGAGGAGGCAGAAUCACUUUUGGAUGACAUUCAGAAAGUCCUGAAUGCUUAUUGGGAGAAGAAAAGACUCUCCUUUCCAAGGUGUGGCAUCUCUUCCCUUGCCCGUCCAGUGAUGAUCACAGACAGUCUGCCAGCAUCUCGUGAGACAAAGGAUUCGCUCCUGAGCCCCACCACACCUAAAAAAAAUGCUUUGAAGGGCUUGCCAAGCUCACUUUUAAUCAUGGGAAAGAAAUUACCCACAUGGAGUCAGCAGAAAAUGAAAAAGUGGGCCUCGUGCUGAGAUAAUUCCAGCAAGUGCCAAGGGGCUAGUUGAGAUAUGGCUUCAUGAGGUGAAUAUCUUUAGCUCUUACUUAGGGUUUAGUUACUGUAUAAUCAUUCUCUCUUUUAGGAGCAAUGAAUAUCCCAAGUGUGUUUCCUAACCAAAGCUCUGUCUCUCUCCAAGCAUUUCUCGGGAUAGUGACGGAUUCCAUAGGAAAUGGGGGCUCUGGGGCCCUGUUGUGGUUUUCUUCUACUCAGGACAAGUUUGCAAAUAAGCAGAAUCUCAUUGAGCGACAACCCCAAGCCAGUGACUGCCACUAGCUGUGUGUAUUUGUCUAUCUGUUUGAGUAUUUGUCUAGUACUUUAUGUCUCCAUGUGUAUAUAUGUAUCUUUGUUCAUGUCCUCGUCCCCUCCUUAGGGGAAUAUGUUAGGAGGAUUGGAU